UCAAUAGAUAAUUGUCGCGAUAUUUCACGCAAAGCUAGUUUGUCAUCUGUCUGGUACGUACCAUUCAAUCUUACGACAUAACUUUUUUCAUUUAUUUCCUGAGCUGCGCGUGAUAGUAUAUCAUCCACGAGAACUGAUUUUCCAGAACCCCGUGGACCGACAAUAAUGACAGAAUUACCUUCGCCAAGUACUAUAGUUUGUCGGACCCAUUGAUAAAGCUUUGUCUGUUCAUCCAUAUGUCCUACAAGAGGGAUAUGGCUUUUCCCACACAACCUUGCAGCAAUCGUAGAUUUAAUAGUAUGUAACUGUGAGUCAAUUUCAGAAUAUGGGACGUCAUUAAAUACAGACUCAACGACAGGAUUAGGAUAAAGUUUAUGCUGACUCUUUUUAGGAGAAAUAAUAGCAACUUCGAAAUUAGGUUUUUUGGGAGGAGGUGUAAAUUGAGAUUGUCGAAGAAGGGGUAAUCUGUCAGAUGAAGGAAGUAGUGGAGAAACUGAAUUGGGUGAUGAAGAUUCGGAUUGCGGAGUUGCUGAAGAGGAGUGAACAGAGGAAUCGGUUAAACCAGGUGUGAUAUUACGAAUUUCCGCAUUCUCUUGACGCUUUUUCGGUGGUCGUCCACGUUUUCUAGGAAGCAACGGAGCUGAUUCUCGCUGUUGAUUAUUAAGGAACUGUUGAUUAUUAGGAGAUGUAAUAGCAAAAUGUUUAAGUGACAACGCGUCUGAGUCAUGAAGCAUAUCCUCAUGUUUUCUAGUAAAGGCGCUUAAAGGUACAAUUCCACUAGCUAUUUUUGGAGGUCUACCACGCUUUCUUUUAAAAAGGGAUUGUGAUUUUGAAUCUAAAGGCAAGCCACUCGGUCUUUCAAGGCGAGGUCUUCCUCUACCUCGUUUGGGUCUAUUUUCAUCUAUUUUAUUUUCAGUACUUGUCCCAAAAAGUAUCUUGGGCUUAUUUAAAGGAGGUCGUCCACGUUUCCGCUUUACUGGGACGUCUGCAGUAGAAAAUAAAGGUUGAUCUGUGACUACAACUUCCUUCCGUAUUUCAGAUUGUGGAUUCAAUGAAUAGAAUUCAGAAGAAGAUUGUUCAUUUUCUGGAUUCAACUGUGAAUGAGUAUGUAGAUUUGUACCUGUCGAUUCAACCGUUACAUUAUUCGAAAUUGGAGUAUUUGCAAUCUUCUGUUCAGAUCGAUGUAAAGGUGGACGCCCGCGCCCUCUUUUCGCAGGUAAUACUACCAAAGGAGAAAGCCCAUUUUGACUUGAGCUCCCUUCUUCUGGUUUUAUUUUUCGAGGUCGUCCACGCCCUCUCUUUGGCUUCAGCUCACUUAAAUUGGCAUGCCCUUCGGCAAAACCUUCUAUGAUAUUCGGCUCAUCUAACCCCAUCUGUAGAUUAUUUUGAGUUGUUCCCUCAUCUACAGACGGUUGCACUACUGGGAGAGGAUGUAAACGAGGACGUCCUCUACCUCUUUUAGGCUUUAAGGGAUCAUCUAGUUUUGUGGAAGGAGAAGAACUUUUUAUUUUUGGAGGUCUGCCACGCUUCCGUUUGAUUAUAGGCUCCGAUCCUUCGUCAAUUGGUUUUGGUGGAUAUUUUCGAGGUCUUCCACGUCUGCGAGGAGCUUCAUUGAGACGCAAAGGUGAAGGUGAAGGCGGAGCUAAAGUCGUAGUUGAAAUAUUAUUAUCCUGAAAUAAAGUGACAGCGGCAAUAUCUUGCAAUUUUGCUUGAGAGGCAGUUAAUCCAUUAUUUGCAUCAUCAUUCGUAGAAUUGGGAUACUGCUGAUCAUCAUUACCACUUGAUAAAUUUUGAACAUUUGAGGUCUCAUUAGUUAUGUUUGUCUGGUAUUCAUUUUCCUUAUUUUCAUAGAUUGCUUCUGUGUCCAAAUUCCCAAGAUUUGUGAAUGGGGAUGAGCUCAUAUUAAAAACUUGAAGAUGCACAUCCCUAUGGUUUUUAUACACUGUAAAAAUAAUGAUCCUCUAAAUUUAGCCUUUUUAUUAACAAAUGCAAUUAAUUGGUCUCUUUUCUAAUUAUUUUUUUCAAUUUCCUCUUGACUUGACAGAUGCAGGGUGUUACUUCGAUUCUUGGUAAAGGUGAGCAGUAAGAUUGGCGUA